rnacentral:rRNA from 1 species
GCAGUCUGCAACCCGACUACACGAAGCUGGAAUCGCUAGUAAUCGCGAAUCAGAAUGUCGCGGUGAAUACGUUCCCGGGUCUUGUACACACCGCCCGUCACACCAUGGGAGUCGGGAAUGCCCGAAGUCAGUGACCCAACCUAUAGGAGGGAGCUGCCGAAGGCAGGUCUGAUAACUGGGGUGAAGUCGUAACAAGGUAGC